GACGAACGCUGGCGGCGUGCUUAACACAUGCAAGUCGAACGGUCAGACAGAGAGCUUGCUCUCUUGAAGUUAGUGGCGAACGGGUGAGUAACGCGUAAUCAACCUGCCCUUCAGAGGGGGAUAACAACGGGAAACCGUUGCUAAUACCGCGUACGAUUCAUGAACGGCAUCGUUUAUGAAUGAAAGGUGGCCUCUAUGUAUAAGCUAUCGCUGAAGGAGGGGAUUGCGUCUGAUUAGCUAGUUGGAGGGGUAACGGCCCACCAAGGCAAUGACCAGUAGCCGGUCUGAGAGGAUGAACGGCCACAUUGGGACUGAGACACGGCCCAAACUCCUACGGGAGGCAGCAGCGGGGAAUCUUCCGCAAUGGACGAAAGUCUGACGGAGCAAUGCCGCGUGAGUGAUGAAGGUCUUCGGAUUGUAAAGCUCUGUUAAUCGGGACGAAAGAGUUCUGCGUGAAUAAUGCAGAAAAGUGACGGUACCGGAAUAGAAAGCCACGGCUAACUACGUGCCAGCCGCCGCCGUAA
rnacentral:rRNA from 1 species